AUUGAACGCUGGCGGCAGGCCUAACACAUGCAAGUCGAGCGGAGCGGCGGACGGGCGAGUAAUGCCUAGGAAUCUGCCUGGCCGUGGGGGAUAACGUCCGGAAACGGGCGCUAAUACCGCAUACUAUCAGAUGAGCCUAGGGCGGAGUAGCUAGUUGGUGGGGUAGAGGCGUAACAAGGCGACGAUGCGUAACUGGUCUGAGAGGAUGAUCAGUCAAACGGGAACUGAGACACGGUCCAAACGCCUACGGGAGGCAGCGGUGGGGAAUAGGGGACAAUGGGCGAAAGGCUGAUAGAGCGAUGCCGCGUGGGUGAGGAAGGUCUGCGGGUUGUAGGGCAGUUUAAGUUGGGAGGCGUUACCUACAGAAUAAGCACCGGCUAACUUCGUGCCAGCAGCCGCGGUAAUUC
rnacentral:rRNA from 1 species